UUUUCAAAAUUUAAAGUAUUAGAGAGGUAAAUGGAGGAGAAUGCCAAUGACAAUAGACAACCGCGAGGUCGAAGCAGCAGACACGUUUCCACCAUACUACCGCAACGGCUUAUUAUUGCUCUUUUGGCAUUUUUUGGCUUAUUUUUCAUAUGUUUCUUUUGUGUGAUUUUACUUAUUAGUAUAUUUAGAUAGAUAGGUGCAACUGAAAGCCACGCCCACGAUAUCACAUUGAACAUAUGGCGAACAAUUGUACACGUCUGGCGAGAACGAUAGCAUAUCGUAAUUGAAGCAGGCGUAAGCAAGUUCUGAUGUCGUGAUAAGCUCAACUGCAGCAGAGCUGAGCUGGAGUCGCAAGACACGACUCUCACACACAUAUAAAC